rnacentral:rRNA from 1 species
GCUGAAUAGCUAGCCGAACAAAUUAAGUUAAAUGACCAACCAUAGAUAGUGAGUGUUUAGGGAGUUAUAGCUAAACCAUUUUCCCUCCUUAGUAUAGGCGAUAGAAAAGGACAAUUUGAGCAAUAGAAAAAGUACCGCAAGGGAAAGCUGAAAGAGUGGUGAAAUAGUUCGUCAAAGCGUGAAAAAGCAGAGAUUAAGUCUCGUACCUUUUGCAUCAUGAUUUAGCCAGUGAAAUCGAGCAGAGUGAUUUUUAGUUCGAACUCCCGAAACCAAGCGAGCUACUCCGGAGCGGCCUUGUAGGGCUAACCCGUCUCUGUGGCAAUAGGGUGGGAAGACUCCCGAGUAGAGGUGACAGACCUAUCGAGCUUGGUUAUAGCUGGUUGCUUAGGAAAUGGAUAUUAGUUCAGCCUUAUAUUUGCUUCAAUCAAUGGGUGGAUUGCCUAUUAAGACUAAAAGUCAGAGAUAAGAGUUAGUCAAAGGAGGUACAGCUCCUUUGAAAUAGAAUACAAUCUUUUCAGGUGGAUAAGGAUCAUAUUAUUAUGAGGUAAAUUGCUUUAGUGGGCCUAAGAGCAGCCAUCUGGAUAGAAAGCGUUAAAGCUCAAGUAAAAUUAAACCGUAAAUACUGAUUAUUACUUCCUAUUCCCCUAUUUUUACUAAGCUAUUCUAUAUGAAUAUAGAAGAGAUAAUGCUAAAAUUAGUAACAAGAAGAGAAUACUCUUCUCCUGGCAUGUGUGUAAGUCAGAUCGGAUCGGCCGCUGACAAUUAGCGAACCCAAACAGAGGGGCAUGUAGAAUUAAUAAUAAACUGGAAGAUCUUACAGCAGAGUUAUCGUUAACCCGACACAGGAGUGCCUAUCGUGGAAAGAUUAAAAGGGAAAGAAGGAACUCGGCAAACACGAGCCUCGCCUGUUUACCAAAAACAUCGCCUCUUGCUAAAAACAAAGUAUUAGAGGUCCCGCCUGCCCUGUGAACUGAAAAAUUUAACGGCCGCGGUAUUCUGACCGUGCAAAGGUAGCGUAAUCAUUUGUCUUUUAAAUAAAGACCUGUAUGAAUGGCAUCACGAGGGCUCGACUGUCUCCUAUCCCUAAUCAGUGAAAUUGAUCUGUCCGUGCAGAAGCGGGCAUAAAAACAUAAGACGAGAAGACCCUAUGGAGCUUAAGAUAUAAGAUCAGACAUAGUUAGUAGUUUAAACCCGACAGGAAUAAAGAGCUAGGUUUCAAUGUGUUGACUGAUCAGAUUGUCUUCGGUUGGGGCGACCGCGGAGGAGAAAAAAGCCUCCAUGUGGAGUGGGGAAAUACUCCCUAAAGCUAAGAGUUACAGCUCUAAGAAGCAGAAUAUCUGACCAUAAAUGAUCCAGGUUAAGGCCUGAUCAACGAACCAAGUUACCCUAGGGAUAACAGCGCAAUCCUUUCUCAGAGUUCAUAUCGACGAAAGGGUUUACGACCUCGAUGUUGGAUCGGGACAUCCUAAUGGUGCAGCCGCUAUUAAGGGUUCGUUUGUUCAACGAUUAAAGUCCUACGUGAUCUGAGUUCAGACCGGAGUAAUCCAGGUCGGUUUCUAUCUAUGAAGUGUCUGUUCCUAGUACGAAAGGACCGGAAAAGAGGGGCCCAUGCUACAGGUAAGCCCUACUUUCACCCACUGUGGGCAAAUAAAGUGGGAAAGAAAGCACGAUACUGCAAGCCAGAGAUUAUGGUAC